UGUGGUUUUUGUUUGUUUAUUUGUUUGUUUGGUUUAUUAUUAUUUGUUUGUUUGUUUGUUUGUUUGUGGUACUAAGGAAUGAACCCAGGGAGUACUGUACUGAGCUACAUCUUUAUCUCCCCCCUUCCCCAAUUUACUUUCCUUAGUUUUGAGACAAGUUCUUACUAAGUUGCAAAGGCUGGUCUUAAAUUUACAAUCCUCCGGCCUCAACUUUCAAAAUAGCCGGGAUAAUGGGCUUGAGCCACCUCACCACUGGCAUAAGCCAGUCUGGCAGGAAACUGGGAAGUUGCUGCAAUGAACAUCUGCUACUUUCACAGUCCAGUAAUGAAAGUUUAAAAACGGGAGCUGCUAUUCUAAUUAUUUUUCAUUCCUUGCUUGACAGGAUGUAAUGGAAUUUGAAUCGCUGAAAAAAAGCCAAAGAUGAGAGGCAGAAUCACUAAAGGACACUCGGUGAGGUCCCAGCACUCUGCAUCAGGUCCGCUCUCCUUAGCUGCAUCCUGCUCAGAGAAGGUGUGUGGCGAAUAGGUUGGGAUGGGUUCCCCAGCAUUUCCCAAUGCGGCAGGAAGAGCAGACACCUGAUUGCUCUUGACACCAGAUUCAAGGACCGGUUGAUUCAGGCACAUCAAGAGCAGGAAAGAAGAACAAAAGUAGAGCGUACUCACAUGCCAGCCCUGCACAGCUGGGAAGCAGAGGCAAAGUGCAGAGGAUGGGGGUGUGAUGCGCCGGAAGACCAUGGAUGCAGCUCACUCCUCAGAUGCCAGAUGAUAUAUGCCAAGGCCUGGGCUGGUACCUACCAGGAAGCAGCAGAGGUGAUAAAACCCUCGGCAGCAUAACUGGCUUUAACAAUAACUUCCAGGAAAGUAAAAACAUGCUUUUGCAAAAAACAAAUACCAACAAAUGAGAGAGAAGUUUCUCAUUAGCAUCACGACAAAAGCCAGGCUGCUGACCAGCGUGAGAGUUUCAGAAAAAAAUAAUCAAGACAUAAUGCAUAUACAUACCAGCUCCUAAGGUGCAUGUAAUUAUUAUGUAUUGCAAACAUAUACUAACACAAAUAAUGAAUAAAAAGUUGAUUAAGAGUAAAAAAAAGGAUUUCAAAAAAGGAGAGGGAAAUAAGAAAGAAAGAAAGGAAUUCGCCCUUCCUGUGAGCCAGCAGAGCCAUGUGAGUCCUGGGAGGAGAAACAAGAAGCCAAUUUACCCUUCCCCAUGAGCCAACCAGUACACAGACUGCAAGACAAGAAACACACCCCAUUUCCCACAAACAACCAGCUGAUUCACAGGACAGGCUGAGUUGAUAGCAACUGAGGUACAAAAGCAAGCUAAUGCUUAUAUUGUUUGAUUGACUUUUCAGUCAUAAGGCUAGUAGCCUGAGCGUCUAUUAAGAGGAUAAUAAUAUACAAGGUAACAAAUAUGAAGGAUUUCCUUGUCUUGUUUUUGAGUGCCAAUAUUGUUCUCACUGUUUCGCUUUGUCCCACUUUAUUCUUUUGUUUUAUUCAAUGUUCUGUUUUAAUUGACUUUAUUCUGUUCUGUUUUGUUUAAUUUUACUAUGUCUGAUGGUAUGGACAGUGAUUUUGAAGAUAACAGAGGCAUUAUGGUAGCCAUUGUGGCUUUCCUAUUAUCCUGUUUUGAAAUUCUGAAUUACUUUCACUGUUUUGUUUUGAGUGGAUUUAUUCGGUUUUAUUUUGUUUGGUUUUAUUAUCUUUAAAAUAAAAAAAUUUUAAAAAGAAGGCAAGAAGGGUGAAGGGCCUGUACCUGUUCCUGACAACCCUGUCUCAAUAGCCAGUUACUGGGGCUCAUGUUUUAGAGUCAGAGAAAAGCAACAUCUCCUCCAACACAAGUUCCCUUUUUUUAUUUUUUGGUACCAGGGAUCUAACUCAGUCUCACAUUGCCAGGCAAGCACUUAAUCCACUGAGCUAAAUCCCUAGCCUGACAACUUCCCAUUAGAGAUAUCAAGUCCUGUGGCACCUGCACCAGAGUGGCACCGGUCAGACUCAUUGAACCAUUGACUCAUUUCCUCACCAAACAUCCCUGAGCAUCUGACAUACACCAAGCUCUGUGCUCAUGCUGGGGGGGACAAUGAUAGAUAAACAGAUUGUGCCUGCAUGGAGCCAACUCUUGGGACUGGAUCCAUUUCUCAUGGGCAGGUGUAAAAAAUAAUGCGGACACUCCACAUACGGUAAUGGUCGUCAUGGUGAUGACAGCAGCGUAUACUUUAUAAAGCCCUGCUGCAUCCCAGCCACUGUGUGCAGCAUCUGACGUGAGUCAUCUCCUUAAUGCUCACAAUGGCAGGAACUGCUAGUAAG
ensembl:lincRNA